rnacentral:tRNA from 1 species
GAGGCUGUGGCUCAGUGGUAGAGCACUCGCCUGGCGUGUGUGAGGCAAUGGGUUAGAUUCUCAGCAUUG